rfam:Rattus norvegicus chromosome 14, whole genome shotgun sequence.
GGGGAUUUAGCUCAGUGGUAGAGCGCUUGCCAGGCAAGCACAAGGCCCUGGGUUCAGUUCCCAGCUCCG